CCAAGGAAGGCAGCAGGCGCGCAAAUUACCCAAUCCCAAUACGGGGAGGUAGUGACAAUAAAUACUGAUACGGGGCUCUUUCGGGUCUCGUAAUUGGAAUGAGUACAAUCUAAAUCCCUUAACGAGGAACAAUUGGAGGGCAAGUCUGGUGCCAGCAGCCGCGGUAAUUCCAGCUCCAAUAGCGUAUAUUAAAGUUGUUGCCGUUAAAAAGCUCGUAGUUGAACCUUGGACCUGGCUGAUCUGUCCUCCUAAUCGAGCGCACGGAUUCGGUCGGGUCUUUCCUUCUGGGGAGCCCUAUGCCCUUCACUGGGUGUAGUGGGGAACCAGGACUUUUACCUUGAAAAAAUUAGAGUGUUCAAAGCAGGCCUUUGCUCGAAUACAUUAGCAUGGAAUAAUAGAAUAGGACAUCGGUUCUAUUUUGUUGGUUUCUAGGACCGCUGUAAUGAUUAAUAGGGAUAGUCGGGGGCGUCAGUAUUCAAUUGUCAGAGGUGAAAUUCUUGGAUUUAUUGAAGACUAACUACUGCGAAAGCAUUCGCCAAGGAUGUUUUCAUUAAUCAGUGAACGAAAGUUAGGGGAUCGAAGACGAUCAGAUACCGUCGUAGUCUUAACCAUAAACUAUGCCGACUAGGGAUCGGACGGUGGUUUUUUUAUGCCCCGUUCGGCACCUUACGAGAAAUCAAAGUUUUUGG
rnacentral:rRNA from 1 species